rnacentral:rRNA from 1 species
UGAAAGAUGGUUCUGCUAUCACUCUUGGAUGGACCUGCGGUGCAUUAGCUAGUUGGUAAGGUAACGGCUUACCAAGGCAAUGAUGCAUAGCCGAGUUGAGAGACUGAUCGGCCACAUUGGGACUGAGACACGGCCCAAACUCCUACGGGAGGCAGCAGUAGGGAAUCUUCCACAAUGGACGAAAGUCUGAUGGAGCAACGCCGCGUGAGUGAAGAAGGGUUUCGGCUCGUAAAGCUCUGUUGGUAGUGAAGAAAGAUAGAGGUAGUAACUGGCCUUUAUUUGACGGUAAUUACUUAGAAAGUCACGGCUAACUACGUGCCAGCAGCCGCGGUAAUACGUAGGUGGCAAGCGUUGUCCGGAUUUAUUGGGCGUAAAGCGAGUGCAGGCGGUUCAAUAAGUCUGAUGUGAAAGCCUUCGGCUCAACCGGAGAAUUGCAUCAGAAACUGUUGAACUUGAGUGCAGAAGAGGAGAGUGGAACUCCAUGUGUAGCGGUGGAAUGCGUAGAUAUAUGGAAGAACACCAGUGGCGAAGGCGGCUCUCUGGUCUGCAACUGACGCUGAGGCUCGAAAGCAUGGGUAGCGAACAGGAUUAGAUACCCUGGUAGUCCAUGCCGUAAACGAUGAGUGCUAAGUGUUGGGAGGUUUCCGCCUCUCAGUGCUGCAGCUAACGCA